UACGGGGGGGGCAAGCGUUGUUCGGAAUUACUGGGCGUAAAGGGCUCGUAGGCGGCCAACUAAGUCAGACGUGAAAUCCCUAGGCUCAACCUAGGAACUGCGUCUGAUACUGGAUGGCUUGAAUCCGGGAGAGGGAUGCAGAAUUCCAGGUGUAGCGGUGAAAUGCGUAGAUAUCUGGAGGAAUACCGAUGGCGAAGGCAGCAUCCUGGACCGGCAUUGACGCUGAGGAGCGAAAGCCAGGGGAGCAAACGGG
rnacentral:rRNA from 1 species